UGCCCGUGUUGUUGGUAAGUGGAGUGC
rnacentral:piRNA from 1 species